AUGCUCAACCUUAUUCUCCACCGCCCACCUUUUGACCUGAAACCUCAAACUCCCCCAAAUAAAUUCUUACCCGCCCACCUAACCCCCCCUCGGUCCUGUUCGGUCCUGUCCCGUAAACCUAACCUCACCUUCUCCCCCUGAACUCACCUCUUCCCCUCCCUCCGACCCACCAAACUCUCCCCCCCUCCCCCUCCUGCCCCGCCAGCUGUAACCCCGAGCUUACCUUUAAACGCGGUUAGCCCCGCCCCUCUCGACCCCUGAACACACCUCAGCUCGCCCAGUGUGGCCCCCUCUCCCGUUUGAACUCGCCCAUAACGUCCCACUGAACUUCAACACUUGUGUCUUUUCUCCCACACGUCCCACAGCAGACGGCAGAAGUAGCUCCACUUGGAAUAUCUACUUAAAUGCUGGUGUUCAUUCAUAUUGAGAGAAUUCCCCAUAAAAGGCCUUUGAUCUCAUCGUCCCGUUUUUCUCCUUCCUUGUAAACAGAAACGUCGUUGGAGGGUCAGACGCUCGUUAGACAUCCGUCGGGUUUCUCUCGAAAUCCACAUUCUCACAUUCUGAGGUUAUAACAUUCACAGCUGAGAGGCCUUAUGGAUUCGUCCAAUGCUGAAGCGCGCGCACACGCACACACACACACACACACACACACACACAGGGCAGCUCGUGUUUUCUGGUUGACCUUCGCCUCGCUCUUCUGUGCUCUCACCUCGUAAUUUAGCGCUUAUUUUCACAUUGCACGCACACAGGUAGAGAAACACAAACUCUCUGCAAACCACCGAUACAGACAUCCAGGGGGCCGGUCUCACCUCGACGGGUUAUCUCUCUCUUCUAGCCCCCCCCCCCACACACACACAGUGUGCGCUGACCCCGGAGCAGCUCAUUGAAGUCCCAAUAAAACACGGAGGAAUCGUCGGCACGCAACUUGACAUUCUAGUGGUUUGUUUGGAUAACCUCACACACACACACACACACACACACACACACACACGCACACACACACACUCGUUCUGCAGCACACAGUAUUUUACAUUUACGACUCUCCAGAUCCUGAGAGACCCCACUGCCUCGCUCGGCCUUCGGCGCUGCCCUCUGGUCCACCCCGCCACACACACACACAAACACACACACACGCGCACACAUACACACACACACUCUCUUUCCCAGCAAUUAUCUUCAAACUAAACACUGGCUCAGAAGCGGUAACAACAGAGCAGAGCUAUUGUGAGCACCGUACUUUUUUUGUCAGGUUGUUGCUACACUGACAUUUUUUAGGACUUUACGUCCACGGGAGACCAAUGAAUGGAAAGUGCUAAAUAUUCGCCUUCAAAUACACAAUAUCGAUUAAACGCAGGCAUACUUCGUUAUGACUUGACAAACGAUUCACUUACCUUCAGAAAUAUUCCUUUAUAAAACACAACUCUUAAUGGGACUCGGAGGCCUGUUCAGUCUCUGCACAACAAAUGUUAUGUUCUCAUAACUCUGGACGGACAUUUCGCUUUUUUUAAAUCAAAAUCUUGUGUUCGGCUUCUCCUUCGGAGUUUGGAAGUGGUUUGAAGUCGGGUUGUUGAAUAGAAGUCAAUGGCCGUAAAAUGUGCAGUCCUCCUCUUGAUGUAUAAAUCACACCGGUAACGAUAUUCCUAAAUGUUCCUCCUUAAUUGCUGUUUGCACAUGCACACGUGUGUGUUUGUGCUCUACUUUAGACAACUAAAGGCUGCACGCACUAUUUUGUUGGCCUGUGUGUGUGUGUCUGUGUGUGUACUCCUGUUCCCCCUGCUGUGUGUUCCAGGUCUGUACUUAUGAGUCUCUCCCUGAGAACUAAAUCUUCUAUAACUUUCACCUCAACAUGACCUUCGAUUUAAGUGUGUGAGUGUGUAAACGGCGUAAUCAUUACCUCACCCUGACCUGUGUGUGUGUGUGUGUGUGUGUGUGUGCGCGCUUUUUAUGUCACCUAAUCCUGACCUCGACCUCUUGACAACACUCUCUUUCACGAUAUAAAACACUGUAAUGGUGGCGUUUUUCACUUCAAAAGGCGCACACUGAGGUUUCGGGGGAAACACAUCAGUCAUUUUACGCGUUCAGGUUAUGAGAACGCAGACACCAAAAUCAUCCGCGUGCACCUCGUACAUCAUCCCGUGCACUUCAACGUGGACCAGGGCCCCUCUAAAGUCUGUCAUUUGAAGGCACCAGGAGUUUCAGGACCUCAGAUCGUGUAACGCUGAUACUUUUGGGUCAAUAAAUAUGUCGCAUAGAUUUGUAUCUGUCUUAUAGAUUUAAGGGGAGCAAAUUCAGCAGUGGUUCUGCCACAAGCGCCAAUUAAGGGGGUUGUGGUCGAUGUCAGAAGCCUGUGUAACGUCAGCACACGAGUCCAAAGGUGGGAUUCUUAUUUAGGAUCAGCUUCCACUAAAUGGCACCAUGAGAUGAGAAGGUCAGGUGAGUGGGUCGCAGGGGGGUGAGGGAGUGACCCACCCACUCGCGUUGGGGGAAUGAGUGGGUAACCGGGCGGCUAGAUGGGUGGGUAUGAGUGCAGUUGGGUAGUUGGGUAUGUGCGCGGUUGGGUAAGUGGGUGGGAUGUGAGUAGAAGAAGGUACAUAUUAUUUUAUUUCUAGGUCACUAUUUCCUAAUGUUUAACUGCUGUAUUUAGACAGAAAAUGUAACAAAGUAUAACCAGAAGUGAGACCCAACAACAGUUUCCACACAAAGGCAGUUCUUUAAAUAUGUAUUUUUGUGUUAUGAUGAAACACACUCUUCUUUUUGGAGGCCAACUCCUUUCAGCUCCGCAUAACGUGGCGAAUCCUCAUUUGUGGUUUCAUGCAGACAACGCGGCUGCCAUCGCAGAAUAAAGCCUUGACAUGAUAACGCUUCCAGCUAAAACACAGCGAAACCACGGACAUCUGUGAGGAGAGUCGCCCGUCAGUCCCUGAGAACACGUGCAGCGGCGCGCACAAAGGAGAGGACUUCACCUUCGGCCUCCCACCGCGUGAGGAAACGUCCCGCUCGCCCUCGACCGGCGCCGUGGUUAGUGUUACUGUCUCCUCUGCCGGAGUUCAGCGGCGGACGGUCCGACCGCAGACGAUUCGCAGACGCGUUCACCGCCACCUUCCCCCCCGACUGUCCUCGCCUCCUUGUUCCGCUGCUGGAAAGCACGAGGUGCCCGUUUAAGCCCCCCAAAAUCCUCUCGGCCCGGCGGGUCUUUUGCUUCUGGAAUGCGCAGCACUGAGAAUGUAUUUGAAGCGGGACGAAUUUCCCUCGAGCGGUGAAAAAGAUGUGUUUGAAGGUCGGGUUGGAGGUCGGGUUGGAGGACGGGUUGGAGGUCGGGUUGGAGGACGGGUUGGAGGACGGGUUGGAGGACGCGUGGAGUCGGUUCGGGCGUCGCUCGUCGAGGCCUCGCUGCCAGAUCUUACGGCAGGAUUAUGACGUCUCGUAAAUACUUCGACACAAAGCGGCCACGCAAUGAAAUACGCGGGCCGCCGUGUGCGAUCCAGCACGCCGUCCUCCCUGAAGGUCCAUUUCAUAUUCAUAAAUAAUGACGAAAAGUCCGACGCAAGAGAAAAUAACGUUGUCCUCGUACAGGGCCUUUAUUUCAAUAAUCCACACAUUCCGACAGGCUUCCCCUCCCGAACCACCUCUGUAAGCGUUUUAUCAUCACCACCACAUCUGGGGUGGGCAUUCGUCAAGGACAGAAACAUUGCGUCUUUACCUAAACAAGUACAACAAUUUAUAGCUUUCUAACUUUUAAAAUAGCACGCCGUGAAAGUUUUUACUGCUACUGACGUUGUAGUGAGGUUUGGACACACUCUGAUCUCAUCAAACAUGACUUCAGGGACGUUAAAUCAGCCCGUUUUAUCUCCGAGAGGAAGCCUUGACGUUUUUUACAAUGGGGAUUUACAGCUAACAAUAACUUCCUGCUGGGGACUCAAAGACUACAAAUAGAUGCAACAUUCAUAAAACGUUAUUUCUAUUGACAUUCUCAGGCAAUUAGAAGGGAUUGUAAUGAGCAACAUUUACAUGUGUGGAGGAAAAAGGCCUUUAAUGUUUAAUGGGUUUCAUCUUGAGCACAUAUAGUAUAUCAUGUGUUCAUACGUUUGGAUAAUUAACUGAUACCUAAUACAUGUUGAUGCAUAUUGCAAUGACUUUAUUUAAGAUGCUUUGUACUUUAUUUGGGAUAUUUUACUAAAUUUCUUUGGAUAUUUUAGUGAAUUUGCACAGAAUGUCACCAAAUAGCUUUUUACUGUCUUUUACUGUUUUCUUUUAGUGUAGGGUCUUACUAACAAUUUCCAGAUAUUUUUUGGGGGGCUACAUUUUCAGAGUGAUUGAAUUAGUUCCAACGAUGUCGUAAAAGUGAAUCCCGUAUAAACGUCAACCCCGCGCCGCCGUAACUGAUGUAGUGCCCCUGUGUUUAAAGACGGAGGCUCAGCCAAUCGGCUGCCUGCUUCAGAAUCACGGCCAACGUGGCGUCCAGCUGAAAUUAAAAAGAGCCGAGCCGCGGCCGCUCGCUCACUUCAACGGUUGUUGUUCCUCAAGCGGCAAAAAACAACAAACAAAAAAAAAGCAUCAUUCAUGGUUUUCAGAGGCAUCUCCGGCAAAUCCGGCCCACCUGUGUUUCCUUGACACGAGAGCUGUGUGUGUGUUUGUGUGUAAAUGCGUGUGUGUGUGCGUGAUUGGUUAUUAUGUUAUUUUGUCAACAGAACAGUUUUUAACAAGCACGUGGGCAUGAGCACCAAAUAGGUGAAUACAAAAAACAAAAAAAAGGAAUUACACUAUAAACACCAGCAGGAACGAGUGGGUCAGGGUUUAUGUGUGUGUGUGUGUGUUCCUGUGCGUGUUUGUGUGUGCUCUAUAAAGCGAUAGCGGAAUGUGCUCUCACUCUUUAAUGAGGUUCAUCAAAAACAGUCAGGCGUCAAGAAAUGAGCCUCUUCACACGCAACGAGGGACGGGGGGGACGGGGGGGAGGGCUCUAUCUCACACAUGGGAAGUAACGAACGGUCAAUAAACAGACCGCCGCGUUGGUCAGUUUAAAAACCUCAUUACACCAGCAAGGAAGAUCAGGUUUUUGGGGCCUUUUCUUGGCUCCAAAAGCAGACAUGCAGCACGAAUACAGGCGUCAAAUAGAAGGUGUGUGCAGCAUCCUCACGUCGGAUAGAGUCACGUGACCCGGUGGUGGGAAAGAGUAAUGCAGCCUCAAAGAAAAGACGCUUUGAAAAUGUGCAUUUCCAACGCGUUGGCACCGCCCGCGGAGGCCCCCGGUGAUACAAAACCAAGCGGGUGCGAAUGUUUUUGCCCAGAACGAAACCGGGAGGAACGCGCAGGGAGCCAGUGGAGGGAGAAAGUGACAAUAUGAGAGAUUUAAGGCGAGUUGGGACAAGAAAAAGAGGCUGAUUUACUGGAACAAAAAGAAGCGAUCAAGGAGAAAGAAGACGCAGUGAAGAUUUGUGAUUGAGCUUUUCUCUCCAAAUCUGAAAAAGUUCUCCGUCUUGGUUCCCCAUGAUGACGCUAAAUCUCAAAGCCCACAUUGUACCGCCUGCAUGCGGUUGUGUGUGUGUGUGUGUGUGUGUGUAUAUAAAUCAACAGCAUGUUUUCUUUCACUCUGCUCCAGUGGAAUAUUUUUUUAAUGAGUUGUUUUAUUCCCGACUCCCGACCGUCACAUGAACGCUGACGCACCGUCGGAGACAAGCGUAUGAAACGGGGGGACGGAGGACUUAUAGAGGCCGAGGGACACACACACACACACACACACACACAGAUCAACUCCUGCUUUGAUCGGCCGUAUACUUGUGUUUUAUUUUAUAAAAGUUCUCUUCUCUGUUGCACGGAUCCAAAAUGCAACAAACACACACACACACACACACAAAAUGUGCUGGCAGGGGAAAAAUGUUUGAUGUCGAAAUACAGUUUGUAAUCUGCACCAAACAUUCUCGGAAAGGACGUUUUGUACAUGUGUCUGAACAUAUACACGAGAAGAGAAAAACAACCGAAGGCGCGCCAAAACAUCCAGGUCUUCACAACAGCUUCAGAGAUACUUCACAGGUUGUGACCUCAUUCGCCUUCCUAUCAGCCCUCUUAUCUAUGUGUGUGUGUGUGUGGUGUCGUGUCAGAUAGGAUGUCUGAUCUUUUAUCGCUCUGGCUGCAGAAUCACCUGCCAGAUGAACCGGCGGGUUCAGCCUGCGAGAGCUUCGGGGCCUCGACAUCCCCGGGACGGCCGGAGGCCGCGGCGAGACAACACGAGGAUGCAGAUUAAACGUCAGCGCGAACCGCUUACGAAAAACAGUCCGGAGCGUUUGUGCGGUCCUGCUCCUGAAAUAUUUUGCCGUUAUUUCUUCUCUCAGUUUGGCGCAUUGAGGCAACGAAACUCUCUUGAACGCCGGCGGCGCUGAAUGUCAAACGUCACAGGAGAGAUUGUCUCGUUUUGUAAAGCAGAAAUGAAGAAUUCUGGGGAAUUUUAUCUCGCAAUAAUCUCUGGAAAACAAAUUUCAUUUCAAACUACAAAACUACAACAACAAUCAGACACUUCUCUGCCCCAAAGUAGCUAAAUAAAUUCACCUUUUCACCAUUUGAAUGAAUACUGGAGCCAGUGGGAAACCACAACUUCCCAGAGUCAGCCAACGAGGUCCAACAUUAAAACCUGUGAGCUUUUAGAGGGCUGCUCGGCCUAUUCUGUACAGUCGUUUUCUUCAUUUUCCCCUCUGAAUGCUAAGCUACGCUAAUGGUCUUGUGGCCCUCGCUUCGUACAGACUCGAGAGUGGCAUCAAUCUUCUCAUUAGCUCUUGGCAUGAAAGCGGACAACGUGCGUUUCCCAUGUUGAACAAUGGCUUUGACAAAAUAAAUAAAGGGUCACAUUCCGCGGAUCAAACGAUGCCUCGCUGCAGCGACGAGCUGAUUGGAUUUGCCACGAGGUCUUUUUCAGGUUGUCAAGGCACCGCAAGCAUCUUUGAGUUUGGCACCCGGGUGGAUUUACCAGAAGUUACACAGUCAUCAUGUCUGCAGAUCCACCGAGGAAACCAAACGCCUGUCGGGACCUCACCACUUCUUUGUGUCCCUCCCUGAUUCAAUCAGCUUUGUUGGAUGCAGAUUUCUCGGACUGAUACAAGUGGGCGCAAUAUUUACUUUUCUUACACAGUAAACAUCUUUCUAUUUAGUCUACCAGGUCGCUGAUGUGUUUGAGCCAAACUUUGUUAGUGUGAGGUUGGUCCUGGCUGGAGGUUUAUUUUAGGGCAACAUUUGUGUGUUUUUUCGGAUGUGGAUCAGAUCACUUUGAGGCUCUUUGACGGUAACUUUGUGUUUUGACUCGCGUCUGUGUUCACGGUCUGGUAAUUUUGUGUUUUGUAUGUUCUGCCCACAGACUGUAUAUAAGGAGGGGACAUCGGUUGGUCUUUGACGCAUCUAGUUUGACAUUGGGGUUUAGUCUUGUUUGAGCCAGAAGUUACCAUAUUUGGACAAGGUUGAGUCCAACGAGGCCCGGGAGGGCCAGAUCCUGUUAGCAGCUAAUGCUAUCGCUAGCUGGGUUAUCAAAAAGUAUCUGUAAAUUCACAUUAGCUAAACUUAGCAAUUCAAAUCUAAGUUAAGAAAAAACAGGCUUGUUUGAAGUGUGGUGUUAGAGAGUUAGAGAGCUGUCAAUCACAGUGCUUCAUGGUCUAUUAUACCCUAAUAAUUUACUAAGUGAACAUCAUGCUGCCUUGAAGACUUGGAACUAGAGAUUGAGACCAUAACCUCAUAUUUACAAUGCUUACCCAGGGAAUAAAUCAAGAGAAAAGUAGAGUCAUUUUCCCAUAGACUUCUAUGGUAAGAGAGGAGUCGCCCCUGGUGGUCACUUGAGAGAAUGCAGCUUUGAGACCCUUCAGCCCUGGCUUCACUCUUCAGACCCAGACAUGAAGCGUACGACUGAUCAGCCUCACUGUGACCUUUUGUCUUUGCUUGUUCAGACGACACAGACUCCCCCAGGAGAACAGUGGUGACUCCAAACUGUCCAGUGGGUUUUGUUCCUCUUAUUCUAUUCUUUCGCCUCCACAUUAAUCCCAUAAAUAUAUCCCAUCUCUUCAUAACUGCACAUAAAUCACUCUCCAUUUCUCCACUCUAUCGUUCUUACACAGCACCCUCCACGUGAACUCUCCGCUGGCAGGGGAUCCACUCAGGUGCCUCUCCAUGUGUGUGUGUGUGUGUGUGCGCAAAAGAAGCAUGUGUCUCGAGUGUGUUUAUGUGCUACAAUAGAGUCCUGUUUGUUUGCAGGGGGAAUCUGUGUGUGUGUGUGUGUGUGUAUGUGAGAGAGAGUCAGGUGUCGAGUUUACCCCCAGAUCGACCCAACCUGGGAAUGAUCUAGUCUCAGAGGGGGAAGCCAAAACUUCUCCACCAUGUAUGUGUGUGUGUGUGUGUGCGUCUAACCCAGAGAUGACUCACAAACCAUCUGGAGGCCAGAUGCAGGUUAGAAAACUACUCUCUCUCUACUCUGUCCCCUCCCUCCCUCCAGUUGCCAUUAGUUCCCUUAGUUAACCUGUGAACUUUGACCUGUGUGCUGUGCAUGUGUGUGAGUUCAUCCUGUGUGUGUCUGUGUGUGUCUUGUCCUGGUGUCCUGGUUAAGUCAACGACGGGGUUGUGACCUUUCUCAGCGGUUGCAAACUCUCCCUCGGUGACCCCCGGAGUUCAAGUUCACUAAUUGUCCCUCAUCCCAGUUAAACAGCCUCCAUCUUUCUCCCCCUUUGGCGGCUCCGCCUCCCUGUCACCUGGUACGUAGAUUAAGUCUGGGAAACAAGACAUUACUAAAAGGUCUUACAGGCCGGUCUCUGAGUUGUUUUCUAUUUAGUUCCAAUUGGCGUUUGUUAAAAAUGAGAUGUUUAAUUUGCCAGAAGAAAGACUCAGGACGUCCAAAAACAAGGAUUCAGAUAUCCGAAAUGAAUGCCAGGGAGUCCUCCCAGUACCUCCGGUUCACAUCUUACACGGCAUUAUGGGAGCAGCGGUUCCCCUGCGGAUGUACUCUGGGUAGUUAAAUCGAAAAGAAUGUGUCCCAUCGGUCCCCGGAGAGCAGAUGAUGACUCCGCAGACCUCAUGAGGACAACGUCUUACGCUUAACCGCAUAAGAACAAAGACGAUCCACCACAGCCCAUUCUUCUGGAGAUAAAACGGGCGUUUAUGUGCUGUCAUACGUUUCAAUACCGUCAAGACUUGAAAGUAAAUCAUCAAAAUAAUUGUGUGUGUGUUCGACUGACACCAGUAAACCAGUAAGAUGUAUCAUCAAUGUAACAAGACAACAGGAAUUCUGUCUAAUGCUCAGCCAAAUGUUCUAAAUUCGUCCCCUGAGAGGUCGAGUCUGUGCGCGGGCGGGACAACAUUGUUUUGAACACCAUCUUCGAAGUGUGAGCAUGUGGUGGACGCGUGAGGUUUGACAGGAGAUGACUGUAUCUCAGGUCCUGAUUGGACCUAAAGCUUUGGUUUUGGUAGGAGGGUGUUGAGGGGUUGCUGAAGGUCCGUUUUUAUAAGCUGUCGAGGCUCAAUCUGUGCAGGUGUGAGAAUGAAAGAAAGAGGCCAAACAAGGACUAGAUGGCAAACCGCCCUUCACUCCCACAGCAUUCCCAAAUUGGCCUCUAUAAACCCUUUGUUUUGGACACUUCCCUUCCUCAGCGCUCCACUGGAUGCUUUUAUUCUGAAGGGCCAUCAGAGGGGAAGCUAAACAGCUGGAUUGUGGAGUAGAAACAACCCCCCAAAAAGGGCCACAAACUACAUUCAGAUUCCAGCUGAGAUGAUCCCAGUUAGCUGCUGGUGGGAGGAGCUUUGCCUCUCCGCCACUGACCACGAGCCUAUCGGGUGGGAAACGAGACACAGGUUGGAUACCAGCUGAGAGAUCAGCAUAUCCAGAUGUUUUGGUAGAACAACAACCCCCAACAAUUAUUUUCCCUAGUUAUCUGAUGAACAUCUUUACUUUUACAACAUACAUUUGUCUCCUCAAAGUUUAGUGUUAUACUAAAUCACAUUAUCUGUUGUUCAAAUGUGAUUUCAUUAUAGUUUAUUAUACCACUGAAGAAUUUUAAUUUAAACCUGCUGACACACUAAAGAGGUUGUUGUAUUCCACUUGAAGUCUAGUUUUGAGGCUUUAAGCUGCAACUCAAACAGCAAAACAGUCUUUGAGAUAGAGUCCAAAUGUUUAAAGUCUAAAUCAAGUCUCUAGUCUUUGAUAAAGAGUCCAACUCAAAUGUCAAGCGUAAAGAGACAUCCCAUCAUAUGGAGGAGUGAAGGGAUUUCUUUACAAUAUCAAUAUCCAGGUUAAAUAUCCAUGGUCCUAACUGAGCAGCUGUCUUGUCAGAGGCCUCACUGGAGAACUGAUUUGGACAACAAGAGCGAAAUGUUGCAGGCGGACGUCGGCGCAAUCACAAAAAACUGCAGCACAACGUGGCCAAGAUGUCAAGAUGUCCGCCUCCAGCCACGAUGGUCCCGACCAAUCGUACGACUGUUCCUCAAUGCCGGGAUCCUCUCUCUCUCUCUCUCGCUCUCUCUCUCUCUCUGACAUUUCCAUGAACCAACUCUUGAUGUUCCUCAGAAGAACAGAGGAGAGGACGAGAGGACGGUUGAAAGACAGGGUUUGGGAAAAAGAAACAAUAGAAAUGUGCCGGGCAGAUGUCCCCCCCCCCACCCCCCUUCCCUUCUUUCCCAAUACUCCUGUUGAAACUGGGGUAAUAUCUCCGGUGUGUGCUGACACGUUUUGGGCAGUGACCAUUCAGGGGGAUUUUAACAGACAGAAACCCGAGUGGGCGCCCGCUACCGUGGGGGGGUGGAAAGACGACAGCAUGGAGUCCCGCCGGGAGAAGGACGUGUGACAGGAACCACCUUGUGAACUCAGCCUAAUUUGGGCAUUUUGUAGAACAUUUACUGCACACACGCAACAAAGAAAGGCCUCAGGAUGGAAAGGAGUUGUGUCAGAGCGUCCUGUAGGAACAAAGGAGAGUCGGGAAACAGACUGUAACUAUACGGCCGCCUGAAUGAAACACAUUCACUGAUGAUGUGUCCGAGUCAAGUUGGUGGUUUUUCCUCAGACCAAAAGUCAAAAGCUGCACGGAUCAAAUUCACAGUUAUCUAACAAAAGGGAACUUAACUGUAUUUACAGUGCGACAGUAAUGCAGCUGAAAUAACACCGGCUGGUGUCCAUCUUUUCCUUUGUGCUCUUCAGAUAGGAUUCUCCUCAUCAUGAAGGUCACACUUUGCACAACGCAGGCCUCACGCUCUUUGGCAGAAGCUCCCUGACCACCACGAAGGGGGAAAUACCAUUUCUGCUCAAAUGAAACACGAGUCCGGGCCAAGCGGCCGUCUUACUCUUUAAAAUCUCACUCCGGCUCGGUGGGGCCGAGCAGCGGAGCGACAUGAGAUUCUCAGAGAAUCGGUUCCGUUUCCCUGCGUUGGCUUCGGCUAACGAUGUUACCAAAGAAAACGUUUUGGACUUCCUGUACGGGAUCUAAUUUGGAAUAGAAAUGUAUUUUUUGUGUAUAUUCACCUGAUUUAAGGGCCUCUUUACGCAAUGCCAAGCCAGAACUCUCCUGGAUCUAGCUCCCUGUACUUCCCUAAAGUUCGCCAGCAUUUUCAGGACUUUGAACCACUUGCUCCUCAUUGUAUUACUCCAGUGUGUGAAUGAAGGACUCCGUCAUUUGUGAUAGACGCUCAGAAACAACAUAUUGAGAAAGAAAAGUUGAGCCAAACCUUUUGAUUUCCUGUUGUUGGGUACUUUCACGCUGAAAAUAUAUCAAAACGGUCUCAAAGCAGAAGCAAACGAACAUGUAGUUUCCUCCCGCUGCAUUGUGCGUCAACGUCCUACUACACUCUACGCUGUCAGAUCUGAUCCUUAAGGGACCAAAACUCCUGCCUCCCCAUUAGAAGGCGGUUUCCGCGCAAACACUGGUCCCUAAAACUUACCCGCUCUGGUUUCUGGGAUGUGCCAACGAAAUGAAAUUCUCCCUGAAACCCAAACAUUCAGUCCGCCGACUACAAAUGUGUCAAGGACGUGUUUGUUUGCAGAAAAUGUGUAAUUACACAGUUUCACAGUCCGUUUACUGUGGGACUCGAACACCUCUUCCGCCACCGAGCUCAAGAACUUUACUUCGCUCACUUUUACUUUCACGUAGGUGUUUAGAGAGGGAGCGAAUUAGAGGGAAUUAUGAAGAGGAGAAAGAAAUGGAAGACAGACAUGCAUUAGCACAUUGUUACUGCAGUGGCCAGUCAGUCUGGGAACCCGUAAUAACCCUUCAACACUAAUGACAAAACCACACACAUGCACGCGCGCACACAGUCUCGAGGUCUCUCCUCCGCCUAUGUAUCUCGUCUCUCUGUAGUCACUUCUACGUCCUCCCUCCUUCUCUAUGGCGCACACACACACACACACACACACACAAAUACAUGAGCGGUGUUGCUGUGUUGAUGGUAAUACCAGGGUUAUUGGGAGGGGAGAGAGUAAUUCCCUCUGACAGCCCCAUUAAGGGAUGAAAUACCACCACUACUAAAAAACGACUUGGGUUUCACUUGUGACGCCGCACCAGCCUACAUUCGAUUUUUCUGGGUUAUUUUGAGGGCAAUCUGGAGCGGCAAAAUGGCAUGAAAAACUAAAAUAAAAAUGAAUACGUCGGUGUUUGUCGCGUUCGGGACGCCCAAGUGUUCGCCCGCCAAUUCCUUUUGCCCGCGUAUUUCUCCGUCAGCAGGAAAUCUAUAUGGCACUGGUUGUUUUCACUCUGGCUCAAGAGUUGCUUAUAAAUCACGGAUGAAGAGUGGACCACCGGCUCCGACUCAAAAACACGGUGGACCGGAGAGUAAAUCAGGGUCAGGUGGGCUUCAAUAAGCAGCCUUAACAAUCGCCAUCCAUCAACCGGAUUUCUUUAUGAAAAUAAAAAGAGAAAUCUGAGAUGUUCCAGCUUAUAGGCUCGUCACUUUUGUUUUACACCACAAAUUAACCCAAAGUGUCUUUAUACAGGCCAGAUUUUUAAUAGUACAUGAUUGGACCUCGACCAUGUUGCUGACAUCUGUGUUAACAGAAUUUACCACUGUGGAUGUGGUGUGUGUAAACACUGCUAACCCACCAAUGACUCCAAACCAACAUAAGCAUUACCUAAAGGGAGAACAUUAGUUGGGUAUUUACAAGCAGAGGCAGAGGAACAUUGGCAUUUGCUUGAAGCUGUGUUCAAAGCUACUUGAUGAAUUUUAGUGGAACGCUCACUUUCCUUUUAGCUCUGGUUCGGUCUCCUCCAACGGAAAA
ensembl:lncRNA